GGGGCCUGGAGGACCCUCCCCCAAAGCACAUCUUCCCCCCCCGCCGAGGGAAAUUCCAGCUGGCCACCUACUGCGUGCCCAGCUCUGCAGCAUUUGAGGCAGAACAAUGGACGAAAGAGAUGCCAUCCUCAUCUCAAGAAAUCUCAGCCUUGGAUGGGACAGACAAGUCCCUGGAAAUACCAGAAAGCUGUGCACUAACAAGUGUAGGGAGCCACUGAUGAGGGUUGCCAAGCUUGCCGUGCUGGGGGCACGCGUGAACCUUAUCACAGGCCUCAGACCUGGUUCUCAGGCAGAGGCAGUGACGGGGCGCUCGCCCAGACCGGGCUUGUAAGGGUGGGGGCUGGAAGGCUUGCCCUACAGGAAGUGGCUUCUUAGCCCAGUGGAGGGAGGGCCUGGUCCUCUCCUUUCUCUAGGAAGGUUUCAAGGGGCAACCUGGGAUGUGCUCCACAUUCCCGGACUUGACAGAGAGUCCCCCUUUCUGAGCUUCCACCCCCACCGUCCCCUCGUCUCACUCUGCCCCAUCCCCCUUUUAUAACAUUUCUAAGCAGAAAGGACACUGGAGCUGCCCUGUGCACCGAGGCCAGGAAGCGGAUAAGUCAAGGGACUCAUCCAAGGUCGCCCAGCUGGUCCUGGCUGAGCCUGGAGACCUAGACCUUCUUGGUUCCAAUCCAACCUGCUUCCGCCAUGUGCUCCGGUGGGGAGAGCUGGUGGGCUCACUAGGCUGGACUUGGGGCUCUGGGGUUGAGAGACGAUAAAGACAGUCCUUAAACGCCCGUGUUUGAGUUGAUCUGGAAGCCAUGGGAUCUGAGGCUUUUCCCACAGGUAAAGUCAGAGAUUUUCCUGUCUUUGGUGGCCGUAUUUUCUUCUUUCCUUGCUGAAACCAUUUCAGCCUCUCCCAGCAUUGGUUUUGCCCAGACUUCCUGGUCGAGGUGGCCGUACCACGUGCGGUUUGUAAUGGGCAGGGGGGUAUCUGUGUGGGUGUGGGAUGAGCACGCGUGAUGCCACAUCUGUCUGUCUGUGUCAGCAUCUGUCUGUCUGGGUGUGACGUGACUCAGAUGCCGAGGCUCACACUCCCUCAGACUCCCCCGCCCUCUCCCCUCACCCUGCAGCUCUUGAGCAGCUGUAUCCCGCCCCCAGGGAAGGAAUGUCCCUGGCAGCCACAAUGCCCUCCCCAGGCUAGAAGGGCAGCACAGGUGGGGGCGCUGUGUCCAGCUGGCCCUGUGACAGCGCCGCCCGGGGGGAGCCGCCCCUCCAACCUCCCCAUCAGUGCUGCCUGCUGCAGCUGUUGCCCUGAGGGACCGGACUGCUUGGAGGCUGGGCGACCCAUCCACGGGACCCCCCUGUGCCCAGCCUGGUUGGCCAGGAGUCCCUGGAGGCAGGGCCCUGUCAUAUUUGCCUCCCUGUUGCCCCAUCAGCAGAUCCUUCUCCAGGAGCUGGGGCCUGGCCAGGGGCUGUCCAUGCAGGGUCGGGGUGAGCAGAAGUUCCCACCCGAGGCCUGAGCUGUCCAGGGGUUGCCCUGGAGGGAGGGGACUGCUUCUGGGAAAGGAGCACUGCAGUUAUUAGAAAUCCAAAUCCCACUGCCUUGAGGGAGUGAAACCCAGACACCAUUCAUUCUUUCUCAUGACAACAACAAGCAGUCUGAUCAGGAUGGUGAGAAAAGCCCAGAAACACCAUUUUGGUGAUUUUGAGCCAGGCUCAUGUGUGCUUCGGGGAAGGCAAUGUGACAUCUACAAUGGGCAUCAAAGGAUGGGUGGGAAGCAGAGACACCGCAGUGGCAAAGGGGUGACAAUCGGGAGGGGGACUUUGGGCUCAGAGGUGGGGCCAAACCCGGUGCCCAGUUAGAGAUGCGUAGGUGCCAGUGUGUGGACAAACAUCUGGCUGUGAGGUGGGGCAAUUCAGGGGAGAGACACUCCAUGAGACCUGGUGGGGCCGAGAAGACCUCAGGGAGGAGGAGGAGCACAGCAGGCAGAUGACAUCCAUGAACCUGGAAGGCCCUCUACUCCCCACCAUGGCUUUUUUUUUUUUCUUUUUACAGCCACACCUGUGGCAUAUGGAAGUUCCUGGGCUAGGGGUGGAACUGGAGCUGCAGCUGCUGGCCUACGGCCACAGCCACACUGAAUCUGAGUCGCAUCUACAACCUACAUCAUAGCUGGCGGCAACACCAGAUCCUUAACCCACUGAGCAAGGCCAGAGAUUGAACCCACAGCCUCAUGACACUAUGUCAGGUUCUUAACCUGCUAAGACACAAUGGGAACUCCCCCACCUUGAUCUUGAAAGCCAGAGGCCUGGGGAUGGAGGACCAGGACACUGACUCUGAGAAAGAGCAGGGAGCCUCAGCUUGUCCCAGUGAGGGGUGGGCAGGGCUUAGAGCAGUGAAACAGGGGCUCAGUGCAUCUAGGGAGCCCCAGCCUGGCCUAGCCUCCCUCUGGUUCCUCUCCUUCACCCACAGGAAGGCCCUUGCCUCCAUAUUGGACAUACCUAUGGAGCAUAGAGCUCAGUAGCUUGAAUGGGGCUAUGUGACCUCACAUAGGUCACUCAGCUUCUUUGGGCCUCAGUGUCCUCCCCCAUAAACCACGGGGGCUGGGCUCCAUGGGAUCUCAAAUAGCUCCCAUGUCACCUGCCAGCCCUGACUAGCUGGUAAGGUGGGGUGGAAGAUUCUGACACCAAGUCCAGGCUGGGAGGAACAGAUGCUGUGAUCCACUAGUGAUGUCUGCUGUGUCUUUCCAGAGUGGGGAGUGGCACGCAUGCCUCCUAUCCCUAGUCUUCACCUAACAGUGGGUGGAGGGGAGAGGGGGAGGCCCAACCUUCUAUGAAGAGAGUUUCCCAAUCUUCCAUGUAUUCUCCCAAGGCCAGAUAUCUAGAUGGAAGGCAGGUGUUUCUGAGCAUCCAUCACUUGGCUUUUAUAAACCAAGGCAUAGCCAGAGAUUCAUGAGGAAAAAGAAGGAGAGUAAAUAUCCCCACAUCUGAGUUCUUGGUCCAUUUGUCUUUCCGGCAUUUUGAAGAAUGUAUGCCCAGCUGCGUUUAUCUAUAGCUCAUAAGAGGGGAAGUUUUGUUGUUGUUGUUUUGUUUUGUUCAUUUUUUGCUGAAGAGGAAAAAAGCCGUAACAAUUGCCAAGAAAGAAAGGACAGGCCAGGAGUUCCCAUCGUGGCACAGUGGUUAACGAAUCCGACUAGGAACCAUGAGGUUGAGGGUUCAAUCCCUGGCCUUGCUCAGUGGGUUAAGGAUCUGGCAUUGCCAUGAGCUGCGGUGUAGGUUGCAGACGCAGCUCGGAUCCCGUGUUGCUGUGGCUCUGGCCCGCGGCUACAGCUCUGAUUAGACCCCUAGCCUGGGAACCUUCAUAUGCCACGGGAAGCGGCCCUAGAAAUGGCAAAAAGUCAAAAAAAG
rnacentral:lncRNA from 1 species